rnacentral:rRNA from 1 species
UUGAUCCUGGCUCAGAAUCAACGCUGGCGGCGUGCCUAACACAUGCAAGUCGAACGCGAAAGUCCCGCAAGGGAUAAGUAGAGUGGCAAACGGGUGAGUUACACGUGGGUGACCUGCCUUCGAGCGGGGGAUAACGUUCCGAAAGGGACUCUAAUACCGCAUAACAUCCUGCCUUUCAAGAGGUGGAGAUCAAAGCUGGUGAUCGCAAGACCUAGCACUCGAAGAGGGGCCCGCGUCCGAUUAGCUAGUUGGUGAGGUAACGGCUCACCAAGGCAACGAUCGGUAGCCGGCCUGAGAGGUCGGACGGCCACACUGGGACUGAGACACGGCCCAGACUCCUACGGGAGGCUGCAGUGGGGAAUUGUUCGCAAUGGGCGCAAGCCUGACGACGCAACGCCGUGUGGAGGAUGAAGAUCUUCGGGUCGUAAACUCCUUUCGAUCGAGACGAAUUCCUCUGGGGUAAACAAUCCCGGAGGUUGACGGUACCGAGAGAAGAAGCUCCGGCUAACUCCGUGCCAGCAGCCGCGGUAAUAAGGU